ACACAGCUCUCACCUCAGGCUUUAAAGAGUCAGAGAGCCAUAAAUGCGAUUUGGCCUGUUUUUCUAUAUCUGGAAUUUUCUAUCCCAGGAAUGGCACUGAAGUGCUGAGCUCCUGUAAUAAAAAGGUUAUUUAUUGCUAAGAAUAAUUAAGCUAUCUGGAAAAUAAGAUGUUUUUAGUAUCCACUGUGGUGGAAUUAUGUUCUGUCUUUAUAGAUUAUUUUUUCUCUCUCUUCCUAUGGGUUAUUUGACAAAGCACUUUCCACGUGAUCUAUCUCAUUUAAUCCCUACAACGGAGCGUUUGAUGCUGGCUCUGCCAUCACUGGUAUGAACGUAAUUUACCCUCGACCCCUUACUCCUCCUUGGUAACAUGCAGUCCCUCAAUAUACAACCCCCUCCAGGGUCACUGGGGGGUAGAGAAGACAGAGCAUGUGAAGGACUUAAGGGAGUGCCUGGCCCAGAUCCAUUCACUCCGGAGCUCUUAGCCUUAUUGAUAUUGUGUUCAUUACGCCCACAAACACCACAACUGCAGAAAAUCAUGUGCAGGAGGUGGGGGUGCUGCAGAUGUGUGAUUUGGAAGGGUACGGCUGCUUUCCUUUGCUUAGAUGGGAAGCCGCCUGAGCCAGACUCCUUUGAAUGUGAGAGUCUGUGUUGUCUCCUCAGCUGUCAUGCCUACUGAUUCUCCAAAUGAUUGCUUGAAGGAUGAAAGUAGUAAGUUUUUGUACAUGCUUGUUUUUACGUUAUGCUUUAGUCAUUUUUUCCCUCCUGAUCAAUUAACUUAUGAACUUCUCUGGCUUAAAGUGGAAAAGACGGAGUUCC
rnacentral:lncRNA from 1 species